rnacentral:rRNA from 1 species
AAGCGCUCAUGACCAGACUUGGGCCCGGUGAAUCAUCCAGCGUUCUCGCUGGUGCACUUUGCCGGGCUCAGGCCAGCAUCAGUUUGCUUCGGGGGAUAAAGGCUUUGGGAAUGUGGCUCCUCCGGGAGUGUUAUAGCCUGUUGCAUAAUACCCUUCGGCGGGCUGAGGUACGCGCUCCGCAAGGAUGCUGGCGUAAUGGUCAUCAGCGA